AAUAGAUACCCAGGUAGUCCACCCCGUAAACGUUGGGAACUAGUUGUGGGGUCCUUUCCACGGAUUCCGUGACGCAGCUAACGCAUUAAGUUCCCCGCCUGGGGAGUACGGCCGCAAGGCUAAAACUCAAAGGAAUUGACGGGGACCCGCACAAGCGGCGGAGCAUGCGGAUUAAUUCGAUGCAACGCGAAGAACCUUACCAAGGCUUGACAUACACCGGAAACGGCCAGAGAUGGUCGCCCCGCAAGGUCGGUGUACAGGUGGUGCAUGGUUGUCGUCAGCUCGUGUCGUGAGAUGUUGGGUUAAGUCCCGCAACGAGCGCAACCCUCGUUCUAUGUUGCCAGCACGUGAUGGUGGGAACUCAUGGAAUACUGCCGGGUCAACUCGGAGGAGGUGGGAUGACGUCAAUCAUCAUGCCCGUUAUGUCUUGGGCUUCACGCAUGCUACAUGGCCGGUACAAGGGCUGCAAUACCGUGAGGUGGGCGAAUCCCGAAAAGCCGGUCCAGUUCGGAUUGAGGUCUGCACUCGACCUCAUGGUAA
rnacentral:rRNA from 1 species